rfam:Parcubacteria bacterium GW2011_GWB1_45_7 TX16_C0014, whole genome shotgun sequence.
GGGCGAUUAGCUCAGUUGGUUAGAGCGCUUCGUUUACACCGAAGAGGUCGGGGGUUCGAGCCCUCCAUCGCCCA